rnacentral:rRNA from 1 species
UGCGAAGCGAAGCAGCGAUGUGAAGCAAAUCGCACCAAAGCCGGUCCCAGUUCGGAUAAGAGGCUGAAACUCGCCUCUUUGAAGUCGGAAUCGCUAGUAAUCGCAGAUCAGCAUGUUGCGGUGAAUACGUUUCCUGGUCUUGUACACACCGCCCGUCAAACCAUGAGAGUCGCCAACACCCGAAGUCCGCUUUGCGGCCUAAGGUGGGGGAGAUGAUUGGGGUUAAGUCGUAACAAGGUAUC